rnacentral:rRNA from 1 species
GAGUUUGAUCUUGGCUCAGGAUGAACGCUGGCGGCGUGCCUAAUACAUGCAAGUCGAGCGAACGGACGAGAAGCUUGCUUCUCUGAUGUUAGCGGCGGACGGGUGAGUAACACGUGGAUAACCUACCUAUAAGACUGGGAUAACUUCGGGAAACCGGAGCUAAUACCGGAUAAUAUUUUGAACCGCAUGGUUCAAAAGUGAAAGACGGUCUUGCUGUCACUUAUAGAUGGAUCCGCGCUGCAUUAGCUAGUUGGUAAGGUAACGGCUUACCAAGGCAACGAUGCAUAGCCGACCUGAGAGGGUGAUCGGCCACACUGGAACUGAGACACGGUCCAGACUCCUACGGGAGGCAGCAGUAGGGAAUCUUCCGCAAUGGGCGAAAGCCUGACGGAGCAACGCCGCGUGAGUGAUGAAGGUCUUCGGAUCGUAAAACUCUGUUAUUAGGGAAGAACAUAUGUGUAAGUAACUGUGCACAUCUUGACGGUACCUAAUCAGAAAGCCACGGCUAACUACGUCG